GCCCCACUUAGUAUGGUGGUUAUUGCACUCGGCUUGCAAUAGAGUGGACUUGGGUUCGAAUCCCAAAUAAGGCA